rnacentral:rRNA from 1 species
CAGUUCGGACUGCAGGCUGCAACUCGCCUGCACGAAGUCGGAAUCGCUAGUAAUCGCGGAUCAGCAAGCCGCGGUGAAUACGUUCCCGGGCCUUGUACACACCGCCCGUCACACCAUGAGAGCCGGGAACACCCGAAGUCGGUAGCCUAACCGCAAGGAGGGCGCGGCCGAAGGUGGGUUCGAUAAUUGGGGUGAAGUCGUAACAAGGUAUC